rnacentral:tmRNA from 2 species
GGGGAUGUAACGGUUUCGACGGGGAUUGUGAGUCUUAGCAAGCGAGUAGCGGUGCGAAUACGCUUUAAACUUCGCAAUUUUAAAAAAUUAAACGACAAUAAUAACGUUGAAUUAGCAGCUGCUUAGUCAGUUGCCGUCUUUUUAGAGAAUACUGCGGCUCUUUAUAAGGCGUCGAAUAGCAGUGAACGUGAACUGAAUUUUGGCUCAAAUUUAGUCAUGACUUAGAGUCUACCAAGGUUUAAAGCCUGUUAUUGGGCGUUUUUCUGAGGGAAUUUUAAUUCAAUAACUACACUCGUAGAAAGUUUUGAUAAGCGGUUUUCGGACAGGGGUUCAAUUCCCCUCAUCUCCACCA